rnacentral:misc_RNA from 1 species
GGGAGCCAGCGAGCGAGUGGGCGAUCCAUCCAGCCACUACUAUAACACUAGUCCCUCUCUCAGGACUCGGGAGCGUCUACACUCUUCUUCCUCAGUUCCUUCAUUUCCCCAUUUCGAUUUCUCUGGUUUCUUAGUUGCAGAGCCAAGUAGAGAAAAUCAGUGAAGGUAAGAGCUCAAUCGAAGAGAAAUGGCGUUAGCCUUCGACGAGUUUGGAAGGCCUUUCAUUAUCUUAAAAGAGCAGGAGCAGAAGACUCGAUUGCGAGGUUUAGAUGCUCAGAAAGCUAACAUUUCCGCCGGAAGAGCCGUUGCUCGCAUCCUCCGAACCUCUCUCGGCCCCAAGGGCAUGGACAAGAUGCUUCAGAGUCCCGACGGCGACAUCACCAUCAGUUUUUUCCCUUCUCUCUGCAUCUUUUAUGCUUACUCGCUAUUAUCUCUUUUUGGAUUCUGUAAAGUCCAUUAUACGCUGUUUUAAUGGUUUGGUUUCGUCUUGAUCUGGUGGUAGUUGCUUUCUAUCUUUUAUUGGAUGCUCCAGUACAGUUUGUGGUUUACCAUGAUAAUCAUAGAGAUUACUAAGCUUUUGUGUUAUCCAUCAGUUAUACGCCCGAGAUUAACCUACAUAUGAGCUUUGCGGCUGCUAGACUAGGAUUACUCUGUGAGCUCUGGCUUGGAAGCUAGAAAUUUACUUGAGGAAAUGAGAUUUGCCAUUCUUGUGAAGUUCUUGUUAGUUGUUAUCCUUGGAAGGGUCAUCUUAUGCCCAUGCUUCUAUUAUCAGAUCUUGCCAUUUAUUGCAUUUUGUGUAUUAAGUAAAUUUUGAGUGGGUGAGAUUGAUUAUCUGUUAGGAGUUGCCUUGAUGUGUUCUAUUUAUUUGUUUUGUCAGCAAAUGAUGGUGCUACAAUCUUGGAGCAGAUGGAUGUGGACAAUCAGAUUGCCAAGCUGAUGGUUGAGCUUUCUCGUAGUCAGGAUUAUGAGAUUGGCGAUGGCACAACUGGUGUUGUUGUUAUGGCUGGAGCACUUUUGGAGCAGGCUGAGAAGCUCUUAGAACGUGGAAUUCAUCCCAUUCGAAUAGCAGAGGGUUAUGAGAUGGCUUCUAGAAUAGCUGUUGAAAAUUUGGAGCUUAUAGCACACAAGUUUGAUUUUGGAGUGACAAAUCUAGAGCCAUUAAUUCAAACUUGCAUGACUACUCUGUCCUCAAAGAUUGUGAAUCGAUGCAAGCGCAGUUUGGCUGAGAUUGCCGUUAAAGCCGUUCUCGCUGUUGCAGAUUUAGAGCGGAAGGAUGUUAACUUGGAUUUGAUAAAAGUUGAGGGAAAAGUGGGAGGCAAAUUGGAAGACACCGAACUAAUAUAUGGAAUAGUGGUUGACAAGGAUAUGAGCCAUCCACAGAUGCCGAAACAAAUUAAAGAUGCAAAAAUUGCUAUCUUGACUUGCCCCUUUGAGCCGCCUAAGCCAAAGACGAAGCAUAAGGUGGAUAUUGAUACGGUGGAAAAGUUUCAGACUCUACGUAAGCAAGAACAGCAGUAUUUCGAUGACAUGGUUCAGAAGUGCAAGGUUGUUUGUCCACCAUCAAUUCACCAUAGAAAUUGUUAAUAUUUAAUAUUGAUGGGGACUUGUUAAAUUUUUUUGGAAUUACUGGACAGUGGUUUGCAAUAUGUUUAUCUUGCUUACAUCUUUUUCAUUCUUUAAAAUCUAUUUGAGCACAGGAUGUUGGUGCUACCUUAGUUAUCUGUCAAUGGGGGUUCGAUGAUGAGGCAAAUCAUUUAUUAAUGCACAGGAACUUGCCUGCAGUUAGAUGGGUUGGUGGUGUGGAGUUAGAGCUGAUAGCAAUAGCCACAGGUGGAAGAAUAGUGCCACGAUUCCAGGAGUUAACGCCUGAAAAGCUGGGCAAGGCUGGUUUGGUUCGAGAAAAAUCUUUCGGCACAACGAAAGAUCGAAUGCUUUACAUUGAACACUGUGCAAAUUCAAGGGCUGUUAGCAUAUUUAUUCGCGGAGGUAACAAAAUGAUGAUAGAAGAGACAAAGCGUAGUCUACAUGAUGCCCUGUGUGUGGCCAGGAAUCUCAUUCGUAACAAUUCUAUUGUGUAUGGUGGUGGCUCAGCUGAGAUUUCUUGCUCAGUUGCUGUAGAGGCUGCUGCGGAUAGAUAUCCUGGAGUCGAGCAGUAUGCCAUCAGGGCAUUUGCUGAUGCUUUGGAUGCCAUCCCAAUGGCACUUGCGGAAAAUAGUGGCCUUCAACCCAUUGAGACACUAUCUGCUGUGAAAUCUCAGCAAAUUAAGGAGAACAAUCCUCAUUUUGGAAUAGAUUGCAAUGAUGUUGGCACAAAUGACAUGUGUGAACAAAAUGUCUUUGAGACCCUGAUAGGGAAGCAACAGCAGAUCUUACUUGCAACACAAGUUGUCAAAAUGAUAUUAAAAAUUGAUGAUGUCAUCUCACCUUCUGAUUACUGAGUUGUGGUCUUUGUUCUAUUUCACUGCUUAACCAACAAUGAAACUCAUGCAUUGUUGGCUUUGAUUUGGCAUGUUGAGUUUCUUGGAGAACCUCAUUUUAUGGGAGCUUGUUUAGCUUAUAAAUUUUGGAUUGGCGUUCAUUGAAAUAUGUGGUAUGAAAAUUCUUAUGUAGUUGAACUGUUUGCUGAUUUGCUGUGUUGCUAUCAUGCAUUUGUGGAAUGCAGCCAUUUCUUUUUUUUUUCUUUCUGCCUUAGCUAGUCCUGACGGACUUGAAACCACAAUUACUUCAAUGCCUUGUGCAAAUACAUAGGAGCCCACAUGUGCAGGGUGAGGAUGGUACAAAGUCGACUACAGUCUUGUAUUUAUGGAUUUUGGUAUGGUUGGAGGUGCCUGUCGAGAAAGGCUGGUGGUCUAUUAUUCAUGCCCAGGGUGGUUCAUAUCCUUCAAUUAUGCUAGCAUUAAUUGUGGUUCUAUGCAAGCAUUAAUUGUGGUUCUUAUUAAUUGUGCUUUGUAUGAGUUCAUUCUCCCCUUUGUUUAAUUGGGCGUGAUGGAGGAUAAGCAAUGCCCUUUUUAUUUAAUUGAUUUGAUCAUAAUCAAGUGAGACGAUAGAACGCAUCUGCGGAUAAAAGCCGUUGUGUCCCGCAUGCAGGUUCUUUAUAAUGUUAGUUGUUUUUUUUAACCUACAAUGAUGUCGUAACAGCACUAGCGUCCUUCUCUGCCCUUUUUUCUUCUUUUUUUCUCUCUAGUAGAGGCUAUUGAGUAAGAAAGGGGCUAUGAAAGAGUAAUAAAAAAAAAAUUAUACUUGAAAAAGCAUAUUUCCAACUAAAUCAUUUGAAAUUAGUAAUACAUAUUAAUGUACCAAUAUACAUAUCAUUAUGUUUAAUGUAUAGCACUUUAGCAUUUUUUUU